ensembl:lncRNA
AGCUUAGCAGCAUCCAGUGACUUUCUUAGCCAAACAAAAGCCAUGUUCAAUGCCUGAACCACCUUCCCAGUGCAACCCAGCAAUUUGGAAAACUGAAGCCCAAAGAAAUAAGAUGAAGUGGUUGAAUUAGUUGAUUGUGAAACUUCCCUUCAGCUUUCAUCUAUUAUUAAAACUUAGCUUCUUUCAUGGAAAUUUCUUGUGGAGAAGUGUUCUAAACCUUGAUGAAGAUAUAUACCACAAGGAUCACUCAAGAGAAGGACAAAAGGGAUGAUAUCCUAGAAUAUGCUGCCAUUCCCAGACCACAUAUAUCCAUGGUAAGCUGCUUGAAGAAAGGGUCUCUUUGGGCCUUUUUGUCUCCAAUGUCUUCUACAGAAUAGUGAAGUAAUUUGUUUAAGGGCAUAGAGGUUUUAAGUAGAAGACCUAGAAUUCAAAGAGGGAUCCUUCACUAAUAUAUUGUCCUAUUUUAGAAUUAAUUACAAAUAAAUUCAUUUAUUACUUUCUGAAGAUGAUAAUAAUUUUAUUGUUAUUGUUCGGUUGUCUCCAACACUUUGUGACCCCAUUUAAGGUACUCUUGGCAAAAAUAAGGG